rnacentral:rRNA from 1 species
CCUACGGGAGGCAGCAGUGAGGAAUAUUGGUCAAUGGGCGCAAGUCUGAACCAGCCAAGUCGCGUGAAGGAUGACGGCCCUACGGGUUGUAAACUUCUUUUAUAAAGGAAUAAAGCGAGACACGUGUGCCUUGUUGAAAGUACCUUAUGAAUAAGGAUCGGCUAACUCCGUGCCAGCAGCCGCGGUAAUACGGAGGAUCCGAGCGUUAUCCGGAUUUAUUGGGUUUAAAGGGUGCGUAGGUGGGUUGUUAAGUCAGUUGUGAAAGUUUGCGGCUCAACCGUGAAACUGCAUUUAAUACUGGCGGCCUUGAGAACAGUUGAGGUAGGCGGAAUGCGUGGUGUAGCGGUGAAAUGCUUAGAGAUCACGCAGAACUCCGAUUGCGAAGGCAGCUUACCAAACUACAACUGACGUUGAUGCUCGAAAGCGUGGGUAGCAAACAGGAUUAGAUACCCGAGUAGUC